GGUGGUGAGAAUUUAUCAUCAGCUGAAGAGCGACGACGUGGAAAGUUGGGGAGUGUUUAACGACGUCCUCGAUUCGGGAACCAAGAGCAGUCGUGACCACAUUGAUCACUGCAAUGCGACCCAAGCCAUCAGCAAUUGACUGCUGGGAAACAUUUUUGAGAUGACUUGGCGUUGGGUAUUAUGUUAAAUUAUACAUUCUGCAAUGUCUUGUAACGCCUGAAUUGAGGUUUAAUUUAAUGUAUUCGAUUCCAGUCGCAGUUACCUUUAUUGGAUGACAUGGUGGACACUUUGAUGUCGAGGGACUCGGACAGUGUGAUAAUUACUCGUGAACAAGAUGCCGUGGUUGAGUGGCUGGCCAGCAACAAAACCUUUCACAUUUUGAGAGACCAUCCCUAUCAUAACUUGUUUUUCCUUUGAGGUCUCUGGGGAACCAAAAUCAGCCAAGAACGCACUGCAAUUUUGUCUACGGCAGAAAAAAUGUUCCACAAAAAUCACUUGCACAAAAAAGGAUACGACCAAGAAUUGCUGAUUAAUUACUUUCAACCGAUGGCUGUCAAAAGCAUGGUUGCACACGACAGUUACCACUGUGGAAAAUUCCGAGGAAGUCAGCCGUUCCCGACCCCGAGACAAAACGGUUGGUUUGUCGGCUCGUCGUAGUACAAAUUGCAAACUAUUAAUUUAUGCCCUGAAAAUUGUCGACCGCACAACUUGACCGGGGCAUUAAAAUUAGCCGAUUGGAGAUUGUGCUGAGGAAUUUUUAAAAUAUUUUCCGUUUGAAAAUGUAGUCUAUAAAAAACUUAAACAAGAUUGACGCAAUACGAAACAUUUUUUGAUGCAGUCGAAUUCUU